rnacentral:siRNA from 1 species
GGCAAUGGGCUGCGAGACAACAAU